ensembl:lncRNA
CUCCCCUCUUGGAGAAAGUAAGCAAUGUAAUCUGGAUUACAAAUGUUAUAGUGCAAAUAUACUUACACAUUGUUUAUUGUUAUAAAAGAAUACUGGUAUAAAACCCCAAACCCCAAAAUAAAACCAUAAAUAAACAAAUGUGAGAAACAAAAUGUUUACAAAGGCCUUCUUGCAGAAGGUGGAUUUUAUCUGAGAACUAAAGGAAGCCAAGGAAGCUAGGAACAAGAUCAUUUUGUCAUUUUAUUUAUAGUCACAGCGCUUUGCCUGGGUUUGACCCAUAGAAAGCAAUUAAUAAGCUUUUCAUUCCUUCCUUCCUAGAAAUUUAUUUUUACUGUUUUCUAGGUGAUCCUGAUUUUUUAAAAGUCCAUCAAUGAAGGAACAAGGUUUUAGGGUAUAGCUACAGGAAUUCAGGACCAAGAUCAUCAGUUUCUGUUCCCCCUCAUUCUUCAGUGAAGCUUCAGGGCAACCUGCAUGGAUUUUAAGCUAGGAUAUGAGGAGGGAAAAUGCUUGUUCCCUGCCUUACUCAUCACUUGUGCCAUAGUCAGCCAUAGAUACAACACUCAUCAUCACUGUUUUCCAACUGAAUGUGCAAUAGAAAGAGGUCCUCCUUCUGGUUAUGCGGUAUGACUAAGGGAGAGUGUCGGCCUCCCUCUGGGCCUCAGUUUCCUCAUCUGUACAAUCAGACAGUUGGCAUGGAUUGACCUAUGAGGUCUCUUCUACUUCUAGAUUUAAGAUUUUAUGACGAUUUCUAACAACGGGAAGAAACUGGCGUCCAGAGCAUGAAGCAGAUUAAAUCUGGGGUCCCGGUUAGGAGAGAGCCUCAAAUUAGGGGCUAAAGGAAGGGCCUCGACAGGCCAUCCAGAGAGUGAUUUCCUCUCUCCCCCAAGUCUCGGGGGAAAGCGCAGUCUCACCACUGAAAAACAGAUCCAGCGCACGGCAAUAGACGGGGUAAUCGAGCCUCCCGGACCCCAGCCCCGGAAGUGACGCAACCGCGACGAGCCAUUUCCGGCUCAGGCGUCGGCGGCGUUUGCCGGAGGAAGGAGCCCGAGGGAGUCGCGUCGGUCUGAUUCCCUACGCCGCCGGUCCCUUCCUUCUAGUCCCCCGUCUCGCCCCGGCCUGGCCUGGCCCGGCCCGGGGCACAUCGGCCGCGGGGACCCCGGCGCCCGGAUGGAAAUCAUACGGUAUAGAGUGUUUGGGUGACAUCUACUUGGCAGAUCUUCAAGAAACUCUGGUACUUGGUUUUUAUUUUAUUUAUUGUGGUGUUUAACUGUGAUGAAUAUUAGUAGGUUGUCCUACCCUUUUAUCAUGUCUAUUAAAAAUCAAAUGUAAAUAUAUGUCAGAUUGAAUUGCAUGCCAGCUUGCAGGGGUGGGGUGGGGGGGCGGCAGGAAGAAGGGAGGGAAACAAUUUGAAUCAUGAAAUUUUAUGUGGAAAUUUGCCCUCAAAAAAAAUGAAUGAAUGAAUGAAUGAAUGAAUGAAUGAAUGAAUGAAUGAAUGAAUGAAUGAAUGAAUGAAAUGUAACAAUCAAUCAAAGAUACAAUCAAAGUAGAGCUUGAUAAAAAUGAAAUCACAGGUCUAGACUGGGGAAAAAACAAAUUCAUAAUGCCCAGAGUAAGUCGUUGGAAAGGAGAGCUAAGUGAACUGGUGGGUAUUCUUUGUAAUUUGUAUACAGAUCUUUCUAGUGCUAUGAAAUAAAGAAGGUUGGUAACUUUUAGGUUCCUAACUC